rnacentral:tRNA from 1 species
GCUCUGUUAGUGUAGUCCGGUCUAGCACAUCGGCUUCUCACGCCGAUAACUCGAGUUCAAAUCUCGGACAGAGCA